rnacentral:rRNA from 1 species
CCUACGGGCGGCUGCAGUGGGGAAUUUUGGACAAUGGGGGCAACCCUGAUCCAGCCAUGCCGCGUGAGUGAAGAAGGCCUUCGGGUUGUAAAGCUCUUUCGGCCGGGAAGAAAUCGCUCAAGCUAAUAGCUUGGGUGGAUGACGGUACCGGAAGAAGAAGCACCGGCUAACUACGUGCCAGCAGCCGCGGUAAUACGUAGGGUGCGAGGGUUAUUCGGAAUUACUGGGCGUAAAUCUAGCGGAGGUGGGAAUGCCCCGGGCUUAACCUGGGAACUGCGUUUGUGACUGUGGUGCUCGAGUGCGGCAGAGGGGGGUGGAAUUCCACGUGUAGCAGUGAAAUGCGUAGAGAUGUGGAGGAACACCGAUGGCGAAGGCAGCCCCCUGGGUCGACACUGACGCUCAUGCACGAAAGCGUGGGGAGCAAACAGGAUUAGAUACCCUAGUAGUC